CUGUCUUUGGUGUUGGGAAAUCUACUUGCAGAGGAACAUCAAGGGUGACGUUUGUCCUCUCCUGCAUUGAACUGCAAGCCAUAGCUUUAGCAUUCUUCCGUUCAGCCAUAAUCUUUGAGCAGAUUUCGUGUAAACUUGUGGCGAUGGCUUUUGCUGGCGUGUCACAUCGAAACACAUGACAUUUCAGAAUUCUGGUGUCUUUGUCUCUUGCCACAUACGCAAAGUCUCGGCCAUUGUCACGACCCACUCCCCAGACUCUGAUGCUCACUAUGGGCUGUGAAUGAAGAACUGUACGAUCCAUGGGGUCGAUCAGGUUCAGCAUGUCAUUUUCCAGUAUCAGGUACAUGUCUUUGCCCUCUCCCCAAAUGCCAACGGUGUCUCUGAUGUCAUUUUUACAGUAGGAGAGUUGUCUGAUGCAAUUGUUCACAGCAACACUACUUUUUCCAGGAGCAAGAUCUUCUUCUGCCAUUUCUACCCAGCCCAGAGAGCGCACAGCAAAGCACUUGGCUUCUGGAUCACUGUUGAUGCUACAGGAAUCAUCAUCAUCAGAUUGUGGAGCAUUUCUGAGCUUCAAGGAGGCAUAGCGCAAUGUUGCUCCUUCAAACUCUUUCAGACUCGGGUCUGGGUUCACAGUGGCUGCAUGCAGGUCCUUCCAAAUGUCAC
rnacentral:lncRNA from 1 species